AGGCCGAGCACCUGGUGUGUAAGGAGCUGGACAUCCUCAUUGAUUACUUUAGGGAGGUGUGGUCCCAGACAUCAUGGCUCUCUCGCUGCAUCCCAGCGUAGAAAGUAAGCAACACAGGGAAAGAGGCCGUCCGUCUCUUUAGCCUGGAGCUCCCAAACCGCACAGCCGGCCAGUUCGCGGUGGCCUUUUAUUAUGAUGUCAGCACUUCACUUAAAGAGCAUUCAAUAUCUCCAGAACGGCCGUUGGUGGAACAUCAAUAGAAAUAUACAGACACAAACUGGAUGGCUAUUCCUCAUAGCUGUCAAGUAAAGCAAUUUGAACACUGAGCCCCAGUAUGACCUUUGAUUAUGAGAGGGAUACGGCGGUGCUCAUAUCCCAGGCCUCUCGGUUCCCUCUCAACAUGAUGAAUGGGACACCCUCAGCUGCAGGACAAAACAACCAUUCGAGGAUCCAGGGUGACACACACACACACACACACACAUGCACAUACACGCACACACACAAGCAGAUACAUGUACAUGUACCUGCACACACACAGAAAUGCUGACAGACAAAUGACACUCUGAUGGAAAGUGAAGCACUUUAUAGUCCUUAAAUGCCACUAGCAACAGACACACACACACACACACACACACACACACACACACACACACACACACGCAUGCACACAAAUGUCUGUAAUAUUACAACACCUAAACUUAUCUUCUUGUGUUUAAAGCACAUUUAACACUGUGCUGCCCUUGAAAAUAACCAGCUAAGCUGAGGCUUUUAUCUUAUGAGCAGGUUCUUGUAUAGAAAAAUCCAUUAUGGCUUAUUGAAACUGUUUCAAAUGUACCCAAAUGUGGUUGAAAUUAUGCAGUUUAUUAAGCAACAAUAAGCAAUUUAUGUAAACAUAGUUCAAACUAGCGCUGCUCCUGUACACCUUAAAAUGCUCCUUUUUUUAAGUGGUUUUAUUUUGGGGCUCAAAGUGCACGAUACAGUGUUAAAACUGAUUUGAUAUGGAAACCUGCAGGGACAUAUUAAUUAAAAUAGCAAUUUAAUUAGCAUUCCACUGUGACCUAAAAGUUGAAUAUUAUUAGAGCUGCAACCGUCGGCUGUGAUGAAAAGAGCUUACAUGACAGUGAAAUUGAAAUUCAAAGAGCUGGAGAUAAUGUACACACAGAUCAAAAGAACAAACGGUGGGGAGAAAAAUAACACACCAAGGAGUUUUACAUUUCCUCACAAGGGGGAAAACCAGUGUGUGCACACUCCUGCACCCUCCCACACACAGGCACACAUGCACAUGAGAACACAGACUCACCCUCAGAAUUAGGUAGUUUGGUGUAAUUUAAUCCCAAAAAUUUGCCAGAUACAAAUAUUGCUACUAUGACAAUGAGUUAACACGG